CGGGCCAGGCCGUGACCCCGCCCCCUGGCCCUUCCGGAGCGCCGAUUGGCAGGUGCCGGGAACCGGCCAGCUGCGGAAGAGCGCGCCGUGGUCGCGGAAAGAGAGCGGUGCGGCGCGAGCGUGCGGGCAGCCAGCCGGCUGCAUGGCGCGCUGCGAACGGCUGCGCGGCGCGGCCCUGCGCGACGUGCUGGGCCGGGCGCAGGGGGUCCUUUUCGAUUGCGACGGGGUGCUGUGGAACGGCGAGCGCGCCGUGCCGGGCGCCCCGGAGCUGCUGGAGCGGCUGGCGCGGGCUGGCAAGGCGGCGCUGUUCGUGAGCAACAACAGCCGGCGCGCGCGGCCCGAGCUGGCCCUCCGCUUCGCGCGCCUCGGCUUCGGGGGGCUGCGCGCCGAGCAGCUCUUCAGCUCCGCGCUGUGCGCCGCGCGCUUGCUGCGCCAGCGCCUGCUCGGGCCGCCGGACGCGCAGGGCGCGGUGUUCGUGGUGGGGGGCGAGGGGCUGCGGGCCGAGCUGCGCGCCGCGGGGCUGCGCCUGGCGGGGGACCCCAACGAGGACCCGGGCUCGGCCCCGCGCGUGCGCGCUGUGCUGGUGGGCUACGACGAGCACUUCUCCUUCGCUAAGCUGAGCGAGGCCUGCGCGCACCUGCGCGACCCCGACUGCCUGCUGGUGGCCACCGACCGCGACCCGUGGCACCCGCUCAGCGACGGCAGCCGGACUCCCGUGCCUAAUUUGACCCCUGUGCCAAGCUGCCUCGAUGGGAAUUCCAGUUUCCGGGCCUGGAUGCUUUCCCCGCUGCCACCCGCACUGACCGAGUCUCCAUGUCCCUGCAGGCACCGGGAGCCUGGCUGCCGCCGUAGAGACAGCCUCAGGCCGCCAGGCCCUGGUGGUGGGCAAGCCCAGCCCCUACAUGUUCGAGUGCAUCACAGAGCACUUCAACGUGGACCCCAGCCGCAUACUUAUGGUGGGCGACCGCCUGGAGACCGACAUCCUCUUCGGCCACCGCUGUGGCAUGACCACCGUGCUCACGCUCACAGGCGUCUCCUCUCUGGAGGAGGCCCAGGCCUACCUGGCAGCCGGCCAGCACGACCUCGUGCCCCAUUACUAUGUGGAGAGCAUCGCGGACAUGAUGGAGGGGUUGGAGGACUGAGCCCACCUGACCAGCAACUGCGGCUGCAACCCUUGCUCACCCUGUUCCUGUAGAUGGAGUCCUUCAGAAAAUCCAGCAAGCUUGCAUUACUCAUCCCACUUUACUCCUUGGGGAAUGAGCAUCAUAAAGGUGAUGUUGAGUUAAACAUGAGGGCACACACCUAGAAAGUGUGAUCACCUGCGGCAGGAUCUGAACUUGUGUUGGCUGACUCCGGGAGGCUGCAGCCCCUCUCUGUAGAGACUGAGGUGGGAGACCGGUCCUCACCCUCCAGGAGCUCAGACAUUAUUUGGCUAUGGGGAUCUAAUUUAGGAGUGACCAACCUAUAGGGAGAACUGGGCACACUUUCGAAGAAAAUUCAACCCACAAAAUUGUUUUCAAGGUAAUACAAUUUUUAUGAUUACCAAGUGUUAGGUUUGAGCACAGUAAACAUUCAUUAAUUUCAACUCUUCAGUCUUAGAAUUUGGGGGCCAACACAUUUUUUUCUUCAAGUCUCAAAUAUUUUCUAAGCUUUUAAAAAACUCUUAGCUUCCUGUGAGUCUAUAAUUAUUUCACCCUCCCCCCCCACCAAAAGUUUAAAAAAAAAAGACUCAUGCCUGAGCCCUGGAGGGCUAAUGAAUGACAGGGUCUGGACCCCACCCAGACCUCAUACGAGAGGAGGAGUUGUUCCCCAAAGGCGAGCUGGAGCCUGUGUUCAGAGGGGGACAAACACCAGGAAAUAAGCAAAGGCAGGGAGGUGGGCUCCAGCACAAACUGGCUGGAAAAGUAUCUGAAGUUGGGGGCAUCCCCCAACUAGUCCUUCCUUCAUGGAGCAGGAGGAAAAGAUCAUUUUGAGAUCCAGGUAUCCCCGGACCACAGUGUUCUUUCCUUGGCUCGGCAGAUGAAAGGGCUGCAGCGCUAGCUCCGUGUGUGACCCUGGCCACAUGGCCACGCUCUCUGGGUGGUCUCUGCAUCAUUAAAUGAAGGAGCUCUGGAGCUGGCUCUGACCACCCACACUUUCCCCAGCUGGGCCAGCCAGGUUGCCUGGGGGUGUGGAUGGUGUCUCAGUGGGCCUGGCAGCCCUCUCCACCACGGCCAGCUGGAGGAGGCACAGCCUUCAUGGGGGCAGGGCAGGAGAGUCGGCAGGCUGGGAAGGGCCAUGCUGGCCUGGAUCCCCUGUCUGGACAAGCUCAGCUCAUUUCUCAUGGUGGAAGCCAAGGUCCAGCCCAUAGCAUCAGCCUGUAGGAUGGAGGAAUUCCAGAGAGUUCGCUACCUCUGCGGCAGGCCAGUGAGGGGGGGGGAGAGUCCCUGGGGUGGGUGCCCUUGGCCUUGGGGGGUGCAGGAGAGAGAACGGACGUGCAGCCCCUCUCACAUCACUCCUGUAAUCCUCCAAGCAGCCAGAGGAUUACACUCCUGCUACCCUCCAAGAUGGGUAACAUUCCCACCUUCCGGGCCUGGAUACAGGUUCAGGGAGGACAAGGACCAAGGCUAGAGUCACAGCCAGGUAGCCCCCAAAUCAGGACUUGCCCCUCUUCUCUGAUUCUAACAUCGGCUUCAUUUCAGGGCCCCAGAGCAGCUUCCCUGUGCAGAAGUUUCACCCAGGUGGCCUGCUUCAGGAGGGAGGUGAAGACGAAAUGAGAUAAUGUAUGAAAGUGAGGCGCCGGGCACAGGGCCUGACAGAUAAGUGGGCGCCACCAAUAGGAGGCCCCAAGAUGGGGGCGGGGGGCACGCAAUGCACCUUGUCCCUGGUCCCUGCCUCAGGAAAACUGCGGCCCCUGUUAUAGGGGACACUGGACUCCGGAGAGACUCCCCACCGCAGCCUAGGCAGGAGGGGACUGCCAAGGGACAGGGGGGUGGUGAGAGGGAGGCCUCCCAGAAGUGCUGACCCAGGAAGGUGAACUCAGCCUGGGAGAAGAGAUAAGAGGAAGGCUAAAACCUUCUCAGACUCUAUGAAAAAAAUAAUCAUCUAUUAAGUACAACAGACCUGAACUCCACCUUGUACUAACCUCAUGCAGGAGAGCAGGGCUGCACAUCCCCAAUUCACAGACGGGGAGACUGAGGCAAGCAGGGAGAAGCAGCUUGCCAGGAUGCCCUGGGGAGGGUGUGGCAGGGCUAGAACCAGAACCCAAGUCUCCAGACUCCCAAAGGGGCCUUUCCGGGGGCCUAUACACCCUGUCACCCUGCCACUCCAUCUCUCUACCAGCCCUCAACAGGCCAGAUGCUAGAGAGGAGUAAAGCAGCCCCUCAUCCAACAGCAAACACUUCCUGGUGCUGGACCCGUCUUCCAGGUUGGGGGGAGAAUGGAGGAGCAGCUCCUGAGGCCCUGAGAGCCCAACUACUGGGUGGGAACAGCCAGCCAGUCCCACCUGAUGGCAGUCACAGCAACGACUGCGUCUGAAGCACCUCUGGCCUUGGUCCUGGACUCCUCCUGAAAUGCCCCCACUCCUUGACCAGGCAGAGAGUGUCUGUGGGCCUCGGAGGGGAAGCACAGAGGAAAGGCAGUGGAGCUAGGCCCCACCCACCCCUCCCUAAUGCUGAGGUUUGGGGGAGGCCCUGGAGGAAAAAGUGAAGCUCUGUGGUUGGUUUCCGUGGCAGCUGGCUUGGUCUAGGAGGAGGGAUGAGGGGCUCGCAAGGGGUGCGACCCAACCUCUCUGGGCCUGCCUCUCAGCCCCGGGCAGCCCCUCUCCUCCUGUGCCAGCAUGGGUUUCAGGCAUCUGGAGGAAGGUGGGGUCUAGGGAGGCAGUGCAGGGCAGGGCGGGUUUGCUCCAGAUGUGAGUCACCCCUGGUCCACAUCUUCUUCCCUCUUCAGUGCUGGUGAUUUCAGAGGGGGACAGUGAUGUGAAGCAGGUCCUGUUGAUAACUCUCUUAGCAAGCCCCCCACCUCACCCAGUGCUCCCCACGCUCCUCCCUCUACCUGGUUUCUGAGUGUGAGGUGAGCACCCCUCCAACCCACCUUCAACUCUGUUGCUGCAGUGAUUUUCCCUGCAGCCUAAAUCUGGCCUCAAUACUCACUCUUCCUACAACCUUCGGUGACUCCCCAGCACCCUCAGAUAAAACAAUGCCCAAACCCCUCAGUGAGGCCCUUCAUGAUCCAGGUACCGCUGGCUUCCCACCCUCAUGCCCCAUCUCUCCCCAGCACACCCUAAACUCCAGCCAUGCCCAGAUGCUCACCGUUCCCCAGACUUGUGCCUUCUCAUUUCUGAGCCUUUGCCCACACUGGAAUGCCAGUCCCAGCUUCUUCACCCAUCCUUCAAGACCCACCUUCUUCCCAUUCUGGACCAUCCCACCAAGGUGCUCGCUCAUGACUUCCCUCAGAGCCUGCAUCAUGCUGCUUCUUAAUUAGGUUCAUGGCCAGAUUCUGCCCCAACAGUGGGCUACUUGAGAACAGGGACUGAGGGCUUCAUCUUUGAAUCCUCUGAGGCUAGCUCAGGGCCAGGCACAUAGUAGGUACUCAGUAAAAUAUCUGCUAAACAGAUGGGGAAAGGGAAAGCUGCGCCGGGUGUCAGAGGGAGAAAUGUGAGGAGAGUGGAUGGGGGUGCACAGACCGGGGACCCCAUCCCCUCAUGGCCUGGCUCACCCUGGGCCCCCUCCCAGGCCUGACCCUCUCGGACAGGCCAGAGGCUGUCAGGCAGGGGCUCUUGGAGGAUCCCCGGCAGACCCCUCGGGAGGGCAGAACGAAGCCUGAGGCCUGAGCCCUGAGCCUGGGCGGCAGCCUCAAGCCUGGCACCGGCCCAGCCUUUCUUUAGCGCUAGUGAGGAGCACGAGCAGCAGCCGCAAUCUCUGCUUCCGGGGGAGGCCCAGGCGGGGCCAGGGCUUUGUGGUUAAUGGGUCCUGGGUCCUGGGUCCUCUGCAGAGGCGCCCAGGGCGGGCCACGCCCUGGCCCCUGCCAGGGAGCAGCCUCACGAACCCCAGAUCUAAUUCUUGAAGGACACUGCACCUCCUCAGCCGCCUUCUAUGCGGGACCCCCUGAGCUCAGCUAGCUGGCCCUGGCCCUCUUCCCGCCAACUCUUGGGCCUAGCUCAUCCUCAAACUAUUUUCCACUGGCUUCCCUCAAUCCUUGCCACAGCAUAAUUUUGGGAAGGGGUAAGAGAAUGGGAGGU